rnacentral:rRNA from 1 species
UACGUAGGGUGCGAGCGUUGUCCGGAUUUAUUGGGCGUAAAGAGCUCGUAGGCGGUUUGUCGCGUCGGCCGUGAAAUCUCCACGCUUAACGUGGAGCGUGCGGUCGAUACGGGCAGACGUUGAGUUCGUAGGGGAGACUGGAAUUCCUGGUGUAGCGGUGAAAUGCGCAGAUAUCAGGAGGAACACCGAUUGCGAAGGCAGCUCGCUGGGACGUGGACUGACGCUGAGACGCGAAAGC